ACUGGCAGGCUAGAGUCUUGUAGAGGGGGGUAGAAUUCCAGGUGUAGCGGUGAAAUGCGUAGAGAUCUGGAGGAAUACCGGUGGCGAAGGCGGCCCCCUGGACAAAGACUGACGCUCAGGUGCGAAAGCGUGGGGAGCAAACAGGAUUAGAUACCCUGGUAGUCCACGCCGUAAACGAUGUCGAUUUGGAGGUUGUGCCCUUGAGGCGUGGCUUCCGGAGCUAACGCGUUAAAUCGACCGCCUGGGGAGUACGGCCGCAAGGUUAAAACUCAAAUGAAUUGACGGGGGCCCGCACAAGCGGUGGAGCAUGUGGUUUAAUUCGAUGCAACGCGAAGAACCUUACCUGGUCUUGACAUCCACAGAACUUUCCAGAGAUGGAUUGGUGCCUUCGGGAACUGUGAGACAGGUGCUGCAUGGCUGUCGUCAGCUCGUGUUGUGAAAUGUUGGGUUAAGUCCCGCAACGAGCGCAACCCUUAUCCUUUGUUGCCAGCGGUUAGGCCGGGAACUCAAAGGAGACUGCCAGUGAUAAACUGGAGGAAGGUGGGGAUGACGUCAAGUCAUCAUGGCCCUUACGACCAGGGCUACACACGUGCUACAAUGGCAUAUACAAAGAGAAGCGACCUCGCGAGAGCAAGCGGACCUCAUAAAGUAUGUCGUAGUCCGGAUUGGAGUCUGCAACUCGACUCCAUGAAGUCGGAAUCGCUAGUAAUCGUAGAUCAGAAUGCUACGGUGAAUACGUUCCCGGGCCUUGUACACACCGCCCGUCACACCAUGGGAGUGGGUUGCAAAAGAAGUAGGUAGCUUAACCUUCGGGAGGGCGCUUACCACUUUGUGAUUCAUGACUGGGGUGAAGUCGUAACAAGGUAACCGUAGGGGAACCUGCGGUUGGAUCACCUCCUU
rnacentral:rRNA from 2 species